UACGUAGGGUGCAAGCGUUGUCCGGAAUUAUUGGGCGUAAAGAGCUCGUAGGUGGUUUGUCGCGUUGUUCGUGAAAACUCACAGCUCAACUGUGGGCGUGCGGGCGAUACGGGGCAGACUAGAGUACUGCAGGGGAGACUGGAAUUCCUGGUGUAGCGGUGGAAUGCGCAGAUAUCAGGAGGAACACCGGUGGCGAAGGCGGGUCUCUGGGCAACAACGUGACGCUGGAGGAGCGAAAGCCGUGGGGAGCGAACAGG
rnacentral:rRNA from 1 species